CCUAUUUACCUCACGCGCUGUUGUGUUUUUGUUAUUAUGCUCAUCACUAUUAUUUAUGGUAACUAUCGUUAAAACUAAAGUGUAAAUAACUGGUUUUAAAUGUGUUGCUCUGAAAUGUAAACAAUACUUCGUUUUGAUACAAAACAGUUUGACUGCAAAUCAGUAUUAAGAUGAUCGUAUUGAAAUAUACUUUUUGCCAUUUUGCGUAAAUAAAUAAUCCAGUCAGCUCCCCUGUUGUCCCUUCAUCUCAGAUUGUCAAAUGCUGACGAGAAAUAAUUGUUUGCUCUUUACAAUGUUGCCUUUCCACUCUCAUUAGUCUGUUAAGAAAAUUGUAGCCAUAUUGCUGCUUCUCCCGUGCCCGCGUACGUUGUUUUUGGGCGCUGGAUGGACAGAUGGACAUUAAUUUGUCAAACCAACCAACACCCGCCACGCUUUGACGCCAAAAGAAAAAAUAAAACACUCGAGGAAAAAAUGGACAUGUAUAUACUGUUUCAUUGCAAAUCUGUAUUAAGGUGAUCAUACUAAAUAAAUAUCGCUGCCAUGAAGCCCCCAUACGUUGACAUUCUCUCCCCCCUGUGCUGCCGUGACGCGUCCACAGCUCAGCUUUUGCUUGGCUCGUAGCUACUGGCGAAUGAGUUUUAAACUACUGUAAAUAUGAUAGUAUGUCGUCAUAUGUAGUCCUGAGUCUGUUGAGAAAAGUAGUACACUAAACCAUGCUUACUACAGUCCCUGACAAAAGUCUUGUCGCUUAUCCAUUUUGUAGAAACAAUUGCUAAUAACCUGACUUUUAAUUAUUCAUUUGGUUUCAGAAAUGGCUCAUAUGAAAGCUAAGACCCUCCAAAAGACAUAAAGGUCAAAUUUUGGCAAGACAAAAGUAUUGUCGCCUACAGAAAGUAGUGUGACAAUUGGACAAAAAAAUGUACUUCAAAUACAAAAAUAUGUUACAUAACAUACAUGAUUUUGCCACCACCAAACUGUUCUCUGAGUGAAUCUCGCCUCCAGUAGGUCUCCUGCAAUAUUUGCGGCGACUAUUGUGUAAUUCAAUGGAAGAUUCAUCUGAAAAAUCCACCUUUUGCCACAAAACAGUCACAUUCGUAUGGGGUCAGAUUAGUCUCAUAAGUACUCGUACAUACAUUGUGGGAUUCGUAAACACAUAGCACGCGAAACACACACACAUUGUGGGAUUCGUACACACAUAGCAUGCGAACCACACGCAAUUGUGGGAUUCGUACACACAUAGCACGCGAACCACACACAUUGUGGGAUUCGUAAACACAUAGCACGCGAAACACACACACAUCGUGGGAUUCGUAAACACAUAGCACGCGAAACACAAACACAUUCACCAAAUGUGUGUGUGAAUUGUUUUACGCGCAUUUGCAACGUGCUUCCAAUUACAAAUUCCCACUUACGAAUACAAAUUCCCACUUACGAAUGUGUGGAUCGUUUUGAUACCCGUCAUGCGCAACUGAGAAGAACACAUGCAUUUUUUUAACUGGAGCCCGUCUUCAGCCAAUCAGACGUCUUCUUCUUAAACAGCCAAUCACAAGGGCUGGGCUGUUUCGUUACGUCACUGCUGUGCGCCUUCAAGUCCGGUGUACUGAGUGACAAGUGACAAAUGGGGAGCUUUUGUAAAAGUAGGAGCCCCGUUUUUGACAGCUCAACUCGACCGCGGGGACUAUCGAUGCAAGCUGAAGACGUCCCAUCCAUUUUGAGUGGGAGGACCUCCCAUGCACUUCAAAUGUAUUGGAUGUCAACUGGUGAAAAACUCAUUGAACCGCUCAGCAGAGGGAUGAUGAGAGCAAGAUUAGAUGUCUAAUACUGUACUAUAUGUGGCACAUUUUUAACAGGCUUUUUUUCCGCUAAAUAAAUCUUUUUAAGAUUACUUUCUCCAUUUCAAGCCUAUUUGAAAGUCAUACUUGGGAAAAUUCAGACUUCUUAAUGUAUGAUUGUGAUGUCUAUGCUUAAACCAAUUUAAGACCAUUUUAAAAGGAAAAAAAUAGACAUUAUAAGCCUGUUAAAAAUGCUACCUACAGUGACAGUAUUUAAAGGAUGGUAGUCUAUUACGGAUAUAAAAAAAUAUAUUUUUUGAAAGACUUGGAGCAACAGAGCUUUCUUGCCAAAUGAAUCACAUUUGAUACACUUAGGAUUUAGAACUCUUUCCUCAAAAAAAAAAAAAAAAAAAAAAUGGAUGCAAGUCAACUCAUGCAUCUGCAUGUUCCAUGAGAAAAACAGGAUUUAACAAGGAAAAUAGAUAUUAGAGCGCUUAUUACACAUUUUUCUUUACAAAUUUGGAAAAAAAAAGGUUUAAGACCUUAUUUUUCACAUUUUGUGAUUCUCUGACAAUUGCUUCAUAUUGCAGGCAUUAAGGGGUUAAGACCUGCCACAUGAAUUUUACUACCUUUUUAAACACUUUUUUUAUUGCGACAAACCUAAUAAGUGAUCAAUGAUGGCAAGAGAGGAUAAAGCGCAGCAGCAAAUCCUCAGAUCUGUUCUUUGGAUGCCUUUGAAAGUAAAUAGUGACAUUGAGAGCAAUCAGGAGUUCAAUUAUGUGAGGUGAGGAGACCAAGUAAGUUUUGAGACAUUUUUUUAAUUUAAAUAGACAUCUCAGACUCCCAGCCUGUAGGAGGGCACAGGCUAGAUCUCCUCGAGCCUUCAGAACUUCGGGAAGGUGGGUCUGGUUGUGCCUGAGAUCUCCAUUGGCCAUAUACUCUUCCGCAAACUGAAAUGGCAUUUUAGGCAUUGUUACAUAUCAGUGCUUAACAACAACAGCAGCAAAGUUUUACUGCAGAGACUCCGAAAUCUUAAAAUCAUUACCUUUAAUGUGAAAACCCCACAGCUACUGUUGUUCUGCUGCUUGUUAUGGGCCACAGUUUUGGUAGUCCAAGUUUCUAUUUGGAACUCACGGCCCGCCAACCUCAAGAAGUUCCUAAUUAUUGUUUUAUAAGCAAAACAAUGAAGAUGAACAUUGAACUAUUAACUUCCAUAUUAACAUAAUACUAGGAAUUUAAACUUUCUGAAGCGGUUACCUCCAAUUCCGCAAGAUUUUGCUCAUAUUUGUCCUCGUUACUCAAGGGAUCGUUGAUCACCAGUGUUCUCUUAGAAAUGUGGACAAUCUAUAAAAGGUUAGUUCCUUUGUGUAAUUCUGCACAAUGACAGAUUUAUGUAGUUAACUUACUAAUGAAAUUUAACUUCUGUAUGGCAUCAGCUAAAUUAAUAGCUAUAUAUAAUACAUUCCAGAAUCGGUAGGUCUUAAGAAAAUAUAAGAAACCCACUAACCACUAAAAUCCAAUGAGCGCAUACAGGACAGGACAGGACAAAUACACUUUUUUUUUCAACAGGGAAUUUCCUCUGAAGAACAUACAAUACCAAAUUAUUGUUAUUUUGGGUUACUGGCGUUAAAAUAAUAUAGCUAAAUAUUGGCAUGAAAUGGAUUACCUUUCUAACAGGCUGAAAUUUUCCCAAAAGCAGACUCCCAGCUACCACAGCAGAGAGUUGGUGAAUGGGCUCCUGUUAAAAAAAAGGGUAACAACAUUACAACUAUACUCCGGCAAAAAAUAAAUGCAUUGAGAAAAACUAUAUCCAGCACUUGGCUGCUGCCUUUCAAUGAGGAUAUGCAUGUAUGCAUCAAAUACUUGCAUAGCAAAAUAAAAAAAUUGACAAAAGGCAAGAAUCUUUGUUAUUUGCUAAACACUUAUUGCUCCCACUGACUUCAUCAGACAGCCAGCCGUUGCCUUUUAGCGUAUGAAAAGAUGUGUCAUAUAAUUUAUACGGUCCAACGACAGCCUCCACCUUGCCUUGAUCCUCUGCAGCCCACAGUAAUUUAACUGAAAACACAACAUUGUUAAAUCAAAAAAGUUAUUAUUUACGGCACUUGACCAGAUGACCAUCCGGUCAAAAUUAUCUACUGAAUAGGCCAAACCACCAAACAAAUCCUGUCGGUCGUUCACCAAUUUUGUAAGAGCUGUACGAAGUAGAAGGGUACAAUUAGAUAUACAUUUUAGAACACCAACAACAACUUGCCGUUUUAUGUUUGCUAUUUGUCCUCUCAUCCAGCCCAUUCGUCUUAGGAUGAUAUGCAGCUGUAACACUCCUUUCAAUGCACAGGAGGCACAAAGGUUAUCGUUGAGCUGAAAAAUUGAUACAUUGUAAAUAAAUCCAAUUAAAAAAAUAAAAAAUAAAUAAAAAAGGGGGAAAACAACAAUGCCAAAAUCCCACUGUGAAAAUAAUUUAAUGCAUUCAGAUACCUAAUUGACAAAUUCUCUUCCUUGGUCGGACAGGAUUCUUUGGGGGCAUCUGUGUCUAUAAACAAUUGAGCAGAUACGUUAUGCCACUUCUGAUGCUGUUUUGUUUUUUAAAGGAAAGGCCUCAACACACUUGGAAAAAUAAUCGGUGGCAGUAAGAAUGUACUGAAAGCCAUCCUUGGUUUUUGGGAGAGGCCCAGUCAGGUCUAUCCCAACCAACUCCCAAACAGCAGACACCUGUGAAAGGCAAAUCCAAUAUUGAACAUAUCUCUUACAGCUAUUCCUACAAAAUCUGAAGAGCACCAUGUUUUAUCUUUGAAGUUUUUAACUUAAUCUGGGUAGAUGGCUCCCACCUUGAUAUGAAGGGAACACAUAAAAACCUAAUUUUCACGCAUGUCCAAAUAUUAAAUACAUGCGUGACAUUAGACAAAGCUGUUUCCAAUUUUUCACGCAUGUAAUAAAAACCAGAAAUACAUUUCUUUAUUUGAUUACACACGGUCAGUAUGAAAAUAUACCUUAAUGCUUUGUAAUGGCUGUGUCACACACAGCCAAAGAGUUACCAGUCCUCUGACAUCCGUCGCAUUCAGAGACCUUAAAACAAAUCGUCAUGAGAAACGGGUCAGGUUAAUAAGAUCUGAAAUAGCUCACCAAAAUUAGUUAGUGACAAAAUGCAGAAAUAAACCAUCACAUACCCAUCAGUCAAUGUCCACCGUCAUGCCAUCCCAAUAAUUUCUGGAGUACAUUGAGGAUCUGGUUUUAACAGUGCCUGUGUGUGCACCAAUUGAAGCCGAGUGUACUUCAUUAAACAGUGAUCGUGCUUCUGUUUGGGACUGGAUCACAUAUAAACACAAAUACACACAAAUAACAAUUAUAUAGCUGUAUACACACACACACACACACACACACACACACACACAUAUAUAUAUAUUAUAAAUAACAGCAACAUCACAAAUACUUUGCCUACUCAC